rnacentral:lncRNA from 1 species
AACAAUUUCUGGAGGAUCUAAUUAACCAAACAGGAAAUACAUAGAAUGUACUGACAUCAGGGGGUUAUUUAACAAAUGGCCAGAGAUCAUCCCACAGUGGAAUUCCAAACCAACAAACUCCGCCCAUGUGCUCAAUGCGCCUAAUCAAUGUUUAGUGUCCCUUUUCAACAAGAGCAAAGAUUAACAGGCAUCUCCGCAAAACUUGUAACCAGAAAGAAAAGACCAAACAAACAAGCAGAUAAAAGUAAUUUGGAGGAAAGAAAGAUAAUGCAGGAAAAGGAAAAUUUCUAAAUCACUAUCAUUAAUAUACUCAAAAAGAAAAGAGAAGAUCUUUCCUUGCUAUUUUUUAAAUAAAGGCACAUGCAGAGUCAAAACAGAGCCUGUAGAAUAUGAAAACCAUAAUAGAGAAAUGAAAAAUUCAGUAAGAAGAUUGGAAGUUAAAGUUGACGAAAUCUCCCAGAAACUAAGGGGAAAACCCAAAGAGAUGCAAGUUCCCUGGCUAGGGAUGCUGACGGAAAACCCAGCACCCUCCUCGGCCUUCCUGGAAGUCUUUGAGGAGAGGGGAGGAGCAAGCACGUUCCCAAGACCAGAGAGGUUCCCUCAUGCCUAUCAGCUAAUCAGAUUUUGUGUGAUGCCUGGAACUCCUAAUUCACCUUGCAGCCAGAGGGAGGAGGGCUUAUCUUAGAGCAGAGGAGGGCUAGACAGCAGGCAACUGAUUUCACAAUGAUUUAAUCAUAAUUGUAUAAAUUGCUACAAAGGAGAAUGUGCAAAGAGAAGAUCUGGUCCUGUCCACACACUCAUGUCUCAGUCUCUCUCUUAAGUGGGCCUUUUUUUUUUUUUUUUUUAAACUUCACUGUGCUUCCUGUAAGAAGGUAGUCUGCACUCAGUUCUCAGUUUUGCUUCUUGGUAAGGGUUUGUAGCACUCAUUUGAUGACCUAAGGGAUUUCCAUCAACUUUCCGUGUAAGACCAAUGCUGACAUGCUCCUGUGAAACUUGUGGAGGCUAAAUUAGCAUUCCCUCUUGGAUGCAAGGAGUCCAACCUGUGGUUUGCCUAGGAUGAGCAAGUCCCGCUUCACUAACCCGCCUGGGAGUGGCAGACUGGUCCUGGAAGACUGCCAAAGAAAUCCUGGAAAAUGAGAUAACCAGGAGGGCUUGGGACUGGGCUUGGGGACCGCGCACAGUGGUGCAAGUAUUGAGUAAAUUACAAGUAAGUGUUACUUUAGUCAUCAACUAACGGACUUUUGGUUAUAAGAUAACAACAUCAAGGUCUUUCUCUUCUUUACUCAUAGAUCAGC